rnacentral:rRNA from 1 species
GAUGAACGCUGGCGGCGUGCUUAACACAUGCCAGUCGAACGAAGCAUUUGCGACAGAUUUUUUCGGAAUGAAGUUGCUUAUGACUGAGUGGCGGACGGGUGAGUAACGCGUGGGUAACCUGCCUUGUACUGGGGGAUAGCAGCUGGAAACGGCUGGUAAUACCGCAUAAGCGCACAAUGUUGCAUGACAUGGUGUGAAAACCUCCGGUGGUAUAAGAUGGACCCGCGUCUGAUUAGCUAGUUGGUGAGAUAACAGCCCACCAAGGCGACGAUCAGUAGCCGACCUGAGAGGGUGACCGGCCACAUUGAGACUGAGACACGGCCCAGACUCCUACGGGAGGCAGCAGUGGGGAAUAUUGCACAAUGGAGGAAACUCUGAUGCAGCGACGCCGCGUGAGUGAAGAAGUAAUUCGUUAUGUAAAGCUCUAUCAGCAGGGAAGAUAGUGACGGUACCUGACUAAGAAGCUCCGGCUAAAUACGUG